rnacentral:rRNA from 1 species
GGNGGGNUGCUAUACAUGCAGUCGAGCGAAUGGAUUAAGAGCUUGCUCUUAUGAAGUUAGCGGCGGACGGGUGAGUAACACGUGGGUAACCUGCCCAUAAGACUGGGAUAACUCCGGGAAACCGGGGCUAAUACCGGAUAACAUUUUGAACCGCAUGGUUCGAAAUUGAAAGGCGGCUUCGGCUGUCACUUAUGGAUGGACCCGCGUCGCAUUAGCUAGUUGGUGAGGUAACGGCUCACCAAGGCAACGAUGCGUAGCCGACCUGAGAGGGUGAUCGGCCACACUGGGACUGAGACACGGCCCAGACUCCUACGGGAGGCAGCAGUAGGGAAUCUUCCGCAAUGGACGAAAGUCUGACGGAGCAACGCCGCGUGAGUGAUGAAGGCUUUCGGGUCGUAAAACUCUGUUGUUAGGGAAGAACAAGUGCUAGUUGAAUAAGCUGGCACCUUGACGGUACCUAACCAGAAAGCCACGGCUAACUACGUGCCAGCAGCCGCGGUAAUACGUAGGUGGCAAGCGUUAUCCGGAAUUAUUGGGCGUAAAGCGCGCGCAGGUGGUUUCUUAAGUCUGAUGUGAAAGCCCACGGCUCAACCGUGGAGGGUCAUUGGAAACUGGGAGACUUGAGUGCAGAAGAGGAAAGUGGAAUUCCAUGUGUAGCGGUGAAAUGCGUAGAGAUAUGGAGGAACACCAGUGGCGAAGGCGACUUUCUGGUCUGUAACUGACACUGAGGCGCGAAAGCGUGGGGAGCAAACAGGAU